AUUUUAUUGUGGAAGAGGAAUUAGAACGACAGUUUGGUCCGACUCUGUUUUCUUUAAGCGUUGUCCUGGUAGAGCCAGAAAGGUACAGCUGAUUUUUUUCCAACUGACACAAAAGGAGUCCCACCAGGGGCGGAAAAGGCAUUUUUCCUCGAGGAGCUGGCUGGGUGCAGCUCAUUCCCAUGGAGAGAAGAAAGAAGGAACGAGCAACUUCUAAACCAUGCAGCAGUGUCAUGACUUAUGUUUCACUGCUUAAAUUCUUUAAGACAAUUUUCCUCUUACUGAGUCCAAGGUUAGGUGAGAGGAUUGUUGUUUGGGUUGUUUUUUUUUUCUUCUUCAUGCUAAUGAAAUAUCUCUCUUUAUCUUUCAUAAGACUGUUUCAUCACUUAUACAUUGGGAUUUACUUUGGUCAGAUGAAUUUGUAUAACUCAGCUAACCUUUGAAAGGUGGGGAAAAGAAACUGUUUAGAAAAAAAGAAAGAAAGAAAACCUGUGUUGGGCUGUACUUACACACACACACACACACACACACACACACACACACACACACACACAAAACUUUCUUUCACCUGGAGACCACCAAGAUUGUAUGGAUGGUGGAGAGCUGGUCUGGAUUUUGUUUGGAUUGGGUAUUUUUAUUUUUAAUACUUGUCUCCUGAGUCAGAAGUGGUUAUCUCUUAAAAGAAAAAUUUGAUGGCUUGAAAGCUGGGUGUUUGUGCUUUCCCCUUCGAAUGUUAACAUUUAAGUAGCCUUCAGUGUGCUUCAAAGUUAGCACCCCACUAAGAUAAAUUAGUGACCUUCCCCCUACCCCACCGUGCCCCCAUGCACUGGUGCAGUUACCUCCCUGAGGCUCUCUGGGAGCCCCCUCUGGCCUGAAAUGGGCAAUUCGGUAGGAGACUCAGUCAAUCUGGGUGGCGUGAAUGCCUUGCCAGGACAAUGGUGGCUUUUCAUGAGGAUUUAGUAAUCUGAAGAAUGCAGCAGCCUGUCCUUGAGAGGAACCUGCUUCUGUUGAUAUGUUUAUGUGGUUUCCGG
rnacentral:lncRNA from 1 species